rnacentral:rRNA from 1 species
ACAUGCCUAUAUCAUAGAGCUAAUGCACCAUAUCCCAUUAGAACUCCAUAGUUAAGCACGCUUAGGCUAGAGUAUUACUGGGAUGGGUGACCACUUGGGACGUCCUAGUGUUUUACAUGCG